rnacentral:lncRNA from 1 species
UCACCAAGAGCCCUCUGCCAGCCAGGAGAGUCCCGGCUGUGACACGUACCUGCAUAAUCGCCAUGGGGUGGCUGCUGCCUGACUCCCAGGUGUGCUGUCGGUCCCUCAUUCUGACACGGUUCAAGAGACUCUUCCGAAUCAUCAGCUACACGAAGGAGGAAAAAAAAAAAAAAAAGCUACAUAAAUGACAGAAAGCAAAGAUUGCUCAAGUCAAAAUUUAUCUGGAAACAAAGGAUUUGGAAUCAUCUGGCUCAGAUUUAUAGAACCAUAAAAAUAUUCUUAGAAAAAAAUCUGACAACAUAUUAGAAAAUACAUUGCAAUGAUAUUUCAUAUACAUACCACCUUGAUUUAACAAUUUCUCUAAUCAUCCCCAAAAUGUCUCUGAAGAGUUGGUUUGUAGGGAACACCUUAACAAGAACAAACUAAAUUUAAGGCAACAGCUGAACUUCAACUUCCCAAACACUUCCUAAGUUAUUAUCAUCAAUUACAUCUUCUCCAAUCAAGAGGACAUUUUCAUUUGUUUAUGCCAGAAACAGCCUUGCAUAGUUCAUUCAACUGAAAAAAUGAUGCAGACCCAAAGAAAGCAAGAGAAAUAAAUAGCAACCUUCCUUUAAAGCAGGAAGACCUGUUAAAGAUCUCUUCUCUUUUCAGUAGAAAAUGAGUAAUUCCUAUCAAGGUCGCCAGCAUCAGCAUCUCACAAACACACACACGUGUAAUCAAAGGAAGAAAGGACGCCAGUGUUUCUGUCUAUUGCAGGAUUCAACCCCAGAAGCUCUCAGCAAACACUGCUAUUUCCUUCGUAGGAAGAUCGUGAAUCAUUCAUGCCUUAAAAUGCUAUUGUCAGUGGUUUGCGUCCUAAGACUUGAACAAUCCGUCCGUCCAUGAGUGCUUCAUGAACUGGAUACCUGUGCGAUGCCCAACAGCAGUCAGGGUUGGCGCAGGUGGGAGAAGACACGAGGGAGAAUGCGGAGAGCCUGGCGGAGGUGGGCAAGUCCACACUUACUGGUUUCACCUUGAACUGCAGCCCAUACUUGCCUUCAGAGAAAGAGCUCCAAAUUCUUUUGAAAAUUGUGAAUCUAUGCUAUUCUAAUGUAUUUUUCCAAAAUUCAGGGAUUCUAUUCUGAAUAAUUUAUAAAAUUCAUAGUUGGAUUGUGACACUAAACAACGAAAAGCCAAUUCUCGAACUGUUAUAAAUCUAUUAAAGCCAAUGCAG